GAAAUUCGCCUGCAUGAAGUUGGAAUUGCUAGUAAUCGCGAAUCAGAAUGUCGCGGUGAAUACGUUCCCGGGCCUUGUACACACCGCCCGUCACACCAUGAGAGUCGAUAACACCCGAAGCCUGUGAGCUAACCUUUUAGGAGGCAGCAGUCGAAGGUGGGGUUGAUGAUUGGGGUGAAGUCGUAACAAGGUAUC
rnacentral:rRNA from 1 species